rnacentral:rRNA from 1 species
UGCCAGCCGCCGCGGUAAUACGGAGGGUGCAAGCGUUGUUCGGAAUUAUUGGGCGUAAAGCGCGUGUAGGCGGUUCGUUAAGUCUGAUGUGAAAGCCCGGGGCUCAACCCUGGAAGUGCACUCGAAACUGCCUAGCUAGAGUCCUGGAGAGGAAGGUGGAAUGCUUGGUGUAGAGGUGAAAUUCGUAGAUAUCAAGCGGAACACCGGUGGCGAAGGCGGCCUUCUGGACAGUGACUGACGCUGAGACCCGAAAGCGUGGGGAGCAAACAGGAUUAGAUA